GAUGAAGAACGUAGCGAAAUGCGAUAAGUAGUGUGAAUUGCAGAAUUCAGUGAAUCAUCGAAUCUUUGAACGCACAUUGCGCCCUUUGGUAUUCCUUAGGGCAUGCCUGUUCGAGCGUCAUUUAAACCUUCAAGCUCAGCUUGGUGUUGGGUGACUGUUCGCUUCGCCGCGGACUCGCCUCAAAAUUAUUGGCGGCCGGUACAUUGGCUUCGAGCGCAGCAGAAACGCGAACUCGGGCCCGUCGUAUUGGCUCCCAGAAGCUAUCUUCACAAUUUUGACCUCGGAUCAGGUAGGGAUACCCGCUGAACUUAAGCAUAUCAAUAAGCGGAGGA
rnacentral:misc_RNA from 1 species